rnacentral:rRNA from 1 species
GACGAACGCUGGCGGCGUGCUUAACACAUGCAAGUCGAACGAUGAACCAGGGCUUGCCCUGGGAAUUAGUGGCGAACGGGUGAGUAACACGUGGGCAACCUGCCCCCAGACACCGGGAUAACCAUCCGAAAGGAUGGCUAAUACCGGAUAUGACCACUUUGGGCAUCCAACGGUGGUGGAAAGGAUUCUGGUCUGGGAUGGGCCCGCGGCCUAUCAGCUAGUUGGUGGGGUAAUAGCCUACCAAGGCGACGACGGGUAGCCGGCCUGAGAGGGCGACCGGCCACACUGGGACUGAGGACACGGCCCAGACUCCUACGGGAGGCAGCAGUGGGGAA